rnacentral:rRNA from 1 species
AGAGUUUGAUCCUGGCUCAGGAUAAACGCUGGCGGCGUGCUUAACACAUGCAAGUCGAACGAAGUUUUUCUUUCGGGAGGAACUUAGUGGCGGACGGGUGAGUAACGCGUGGGUAACCUGCCCUGUACAGGGGGACAACAGCUGGAAACGGCUGCUAAUACCGCAUAAGCCCUUAGCACUGCAUGGUGUAUAGGGAAAAGGAGCAAUCCGGUACAGGAUGGACCCGCGUCUGAUUAGCCAGUUGGCAGGGUAACGGCCUACCAAAGCGACGAUCAGUAGCCGAUCUGAGAGGAUGUACGGCCACAUUGGGACUGAGACACGGCCCAGACUCCUACGGGAGGCAGCAGUGGGGAAUAUUGCACAAUGGAGGAAACUCUGAUGCAGCGACGCCGCGUGAGUGAAGAAGUAUUUCGGUAUGUAAAGCUCUAUCAGCAGGGAAGAAAAUGACGGUACCUGACUAAGAAGCACCGGCUAAAUACGUGCCAGCAGCCGCGGUAAUACGUAUGGUGCAAGCGUUAUCCGGAUUUACUGGGUGUAAAGGGAGCGUAGGUGGCAAGGCAAGCCAGAAGUGAAAACCCGGGGCUCAACCGCGGGAUUGCUUUUGGAACUGUCAUGCUAGAGUGCAGGAGGGGUGAGCGGAAUUCCUAGUGUAGCGGUGAAAUGCGUAGAUAUUAGGAGGAACACCGGAGGCGAAGGCGGCUCACUGGACUGUAACUGACACUGAGGCGCGAAAGCGUGGGUAGCAAACAGGAUUAGAUACCCUGGUAGUCCACGCCGUAAACGAUGAGUGCUAAGUGUUGGAGGGUUUCCGCCCUUCAGUGCUGCAGCUAACGCAUUAAGCACUCCGCCUGGGGAGUACGGUCGCAAGACUGAAACUCAAAGGAAUUGACGGGGGCCCGCACAAGCGGUGGAGCAUGUGGUUUAAUUCGAAGCAACGCGAAGAACCUUACCAGGUCUUGACAUCUUCUGACAAUUCCAGAGAUGGAACGUUCCCUUCGGGGACAGAAUGACAGGUGGUGCAUGGUUGUCGUCAGCUCGUGUCGUGAGAUGUUGGGUUAAGUCCCGCAACGAGCGCAACCCUUAUUGUCAGUUGCCAUCAUUAAGUUGGGCACUCUGGCGAGACUGCCGGUGACAAACCGGAGGAAGGUGGGGAUGACGUCAAAUCAUCAUGCCCCUUAUGACCUGGGCUACACACGUGCUACAAUGGACGGUACAACGAGUCGCUAACUCGCGAGGGCAAGCUAAUCUCUUAAAGCCGUUCUCAGUUCGGAUUGCAGGCUGCAACUCGCCUGCAUGAAGUCGGAAUCGCUAGUAAUCGCGAAUCAGCAUGUCGCGGUGAAUACGUUCCCGGGCCUUGUACACACCGCCCGUCACACCAUGAGAGUUUGUAACACCCAAAGUCGGUGGGGUAACCUUUUGGAGCCAGCCGCCUAAGGUGGGACAGAUGAUUGGGGUGAAGUCGUAACAAGGUA